rnacentral:rRNA from 1 species
AACGAACGCUGGCGGCAGGCUUAACACAUGCAAGUCGAGCGCCCCGCAAGGGGAGCGGCAGACGGGUGAGUAACGCGUGGGAAUCUACCCAUCUCUACGGAAUAACGCAUGGAAACGUGUGCUAAUACCGUAUACGUCCUUCGGGAGAAAGAUUUAUCGGAGAUGGAUGAGCCCGCGUUGGAUUAGCUAGUUGGUGGGGUAAAGGCCUACCAAGGCGACGAUCCAUAGCUGGUCUGAGAGGAUGAUCAGCCACACUGGGACUUAGACACGGCCCAGACUCCUACGGGAGGCAGCAGUGGGGAAUAUUGGACAAUGGGCGCAAGCCUGAUCCAGCCAUGCCGCGUGAGGGAUGAAGGCCCUAGGGUUGUAAAGCUCUUUCACCGGUGAAGAUAAUGACGGUAACCGGAGAAGAAGCCCCGGCUAACUUCGUGCCAGCCGCCGCAGUAAAAC